rnacentral:misc_RNA from 1 species
CUUCAAUUCUACUCUUUCUACCUUCCUUCCGUUUCUUCUUCUGUGUAAGGAAUUUGGGAGUAAUUUAUCUUUUCUUUGGAAAACAGAGGAUUUUCCAAUUGGGAAAUUAACAAAGGAAAAUAAAGAAAGAAAGAGACAAUAGUCGCAUUCUAAAGAAGAACCAUGAUUGGACCAGCAAAUUUCAUAGACGAGAUAGACUGCGGCAGCUUCUUCGACCACAUCGACGACCUCCUUGACUUCCCCACCGACGAUAUAGAGGCUUGCCUCCCUGGUCCCGACUGCACCACCACCAACAAUAACAACGGGAACGCCAACUCGUUCCCGAGCAUUUGGUCUACUCAUUCAGACUCACUGCCGGGUUCCGACUCUGUGUUCUCUAAUAACAACGGCUCUGAUUUCUCGGCGGAAUUAUCCGUUCCAUAUGAAGAUAUUGUUCAGCUGGAAUGGCUAUCAAAUUUUGUUGAGGAUUCCUUCUCUGGAGGAAGCCUCACAAUGAAUAAAGAAGAGUCCUCUUCCAUCAACAAUAACUCAUCUCAUCAACAAUUUCAGACCUCCAGUCCAGUUUCUGUCCUUGAAAGCAGCAGCUCCUGCUCAGGAGAGAAAACUGUGCCGGAAAUCAUUGGUUCGGGUAGGCAUGGGCGUGCUCGUAGCAAACGUCCUCGCCCUGCUACAUUCACUCCCCGCCCGGCUAUGCAACUUAUCUCUCCCAGCUCAUCUGUUACUGAGACCCCUCAGCCUGAGACUUUUGCUGCCCCUAAGGUCCCCUCAGAUUCUGAAAAUUAUGCGGAGUCGCGACUUUUGAUCAAAUUGCCAAAGCAUGUUGCCCCCGAACACAAGAAGAAGAAGAAGAAAAUCAAGUUUACAGUUCCAUUAGGUCCUGCAGAGACAACCCAAAAUUCGCCACCACAACAAGCAGUUAGGAAAUGUUUGCAUUGUGAGAUAACUAAGACACCACAAUGGAGGGCAGGACCAAUGGGCCCUAAAACUCUUUGCAAUGCUUGUGGAGUUCGCUAUAAAUCCGGCCGGCUUUUCCCUGAAUACCGACCUGCUGCGAGUCCAACUUUUGUUCCAUCCUUGCACUCCAAUUCCCA